ACCGGCUUCCCCUUCAGCAGUAAUAGGACCCCCUAAGUUUAGCCGGGCAGUGUCUACCGUCCCUUGAAGCCAGCUGUGACUACAAACCUGAGUCCUGGCUAACGGGAUGUAAGUGAAACUUAGCUUAACUUGUGGAAAAUUCCUGAAGCGACGGGACAUACCUUCUCCUACACGUUUCUCCUUCACAGGCUAGAACUCAGACACGACAGGUUUUGCUGGGACAGGCAUAUUGGUCUACGAGGGGAAUUGGGGGAUGCACGCCACACACAACAGACAUGCACAACAGAGCCACAAGCUAAAAGAACCCCAGGCCCCCGACACUGUGUCCCACGGCGUGGAACACCAAUGACGGAAACAAGCAUCUCUCUUGCGCAAGCCACUGGAAUGCUGGAUUCCCUGUCACUCAGAGCUGGAUCAAUACUAACACAGGGCGAAGGAGUUACACAGUGGAGGCUAAAGGUGUCUUGAUACAGGAAUCACAUUUCCUAUGUCUUGUUUACCCCCAAACAGUGUGGGUUCACAGAAAGAACAAGGGCUUUGGAGGCAGACAGGAAGUCCAAUAGAGUUCUACCACUUACUAGACGGGCUUAAACUUACUGAGCCUUAGCAUCCUUACCCAUUAAAUGGGGCUCUGAGGAUUAAAGGAGAUAAGCUGCGCCUCAUGGAGGAAAAGCUGUGUCUGCUCGUUCCCUGGCCUAUCUAUCUAGCCACACAAGCAAAAAUUAAUUUACACACGGUAAAUGUUUGAUAAAGAACACAUGACUAAUGAAUAGUGUACGCUCAGCACACGGCCUAUUAUGGGUGCACAUUAUUAACUGCCUUCCCCAUUUGAACUUUUGAACAUUGAACCAAAAGCCUGUCAAAGAAAUAAGGGGGGACCUAGGUCUGUGAAUUAAAUGUCUGGGUUUUGCUGAAAAAAAAAUACCACUUAGGGUCUCUCUACCCUUUUAAAGUUGGGAAGCAAAAAGAAAUUAUCAUCUUUCCACCGCCUUCCUAGUUCCUCUCUCCUUAACAGCCCUCCAUUCAUGCUCCAUUUAGUUUUCACACAUAUUCGAAGAUGCUAAUUUCCUUUCAGACUUCACUGGGCAGGCUCCUCGGCUUCUGUCGGAAACAGAACCUCAAAAGCUGGAAAAUACAAGGCCCAUUAUGGGGGAGCAGCUCUCUGCCACCAAGAAGCCUCAAAAUUUAAUGCAAAAGGGGAAGAAGAGAAGAGAGGAACCCUUUUGUGGCUCUUUGAGAGCCUGCCUUGUCUCAUAAUAACAGCAAACGACUACUUAUCAGAUAUAUAUUCCACAUCCUAGACUGUAUGCUAGAUGUUUUAGCACAUGUCCCCUUAGCACAUAACCCUCACAGUAAGCCCACAAGUAUUAAUAUAUAGGCUCAGCCUAUUUAACAGAUGGGGA